rnacentral:rRNA from 1 species
GCAAGUCGAACGGUAACAGCGGAGCUUGCGUCCGGCUGACGAGUGGCGCACGGGUGCGUAACGCGUAUACAAUCUACCUUUUACAGGGGUAUAGCCUUUAGAAAUGAAGAAUAAUCCCCCAUAAUAUCUUAUUAGUGGCAUCAUUAAAAGAUUAAAGCUUCGGUGGUAAGAGAUGAGUAUGCGUUCUAUUAGCUAGUAGGUGAGGUAACGGCUCACCUAGGCGACGAUAGAUAGGGGCCCUGAGAGGGGGAUCCCCCACACUGGUACUGAGACACGGACCAGACUCCUACGGGAGGCAGCAGUGAGGAAUAUUGGACAAUGGGCGCAAGCCUGAUCCAGCCAUGCCGCGUGCAGGAAGACUGCCCUAUGGGUUGUAAACUGCUUUUAUAUAGGAAGAAACCAUUCUACGUGUAGAGUGCUGACGGUACUAUAAGAAUAAGCAUCGGCUAACUCCGUGCCAGCAGCCGCGGUAAUACGGAGGAUGCAAGCGUUAUCCGGAAUCAUUGGGUUUAAAGGGUCCGUAGGUGGAUAGAUAAGUCAGAGGUGAAAUCCUGCAGCUCAACUGUAGAAUUGCCUUUGAAACUGUUUAUCUUGAAUUAUGGUGAAGUGGUUAGAAUAUGUAGUGUAGCGGUGAAAUUCAUAGAUAUUACAUAGAAUACCAAUUGCGAAGGCAGAUCACUAACCAUAUAUUGACACUGAUGGACGAAAGCGUGGGUAGCGAACGGGAUUAGAUACCCCGGUAGUCCACGCCGUAAACGAUGGUCACUAGCUGUGUGGAUUUC